UACGAAGGGGGCUAGCGUUGCUCGGAAUCACUGGGCGUAAAGCGCACGUAGGCGGAUUGCUAAGUCAGGGGUGAAAUCCCUCGGCUUAACCGAGGAACUGCCUGUCAAACUGCAUGGCUUGAGACCGGGAGAGGUGAGUGGAAUUCCCAGUGUAGCGGUGAAAUGCGUAGAUAUUGGGAGGAACACCAGUGGCGAAGGCGGCUCACUGGACCGGUACUGACGCUGAUGCGCGAAAGCGUGGGGAGCAAACAGG
rnacentral:rRNA from 1 species